ACAUAAGUAACGAUAAAGCGGGUGAAAAGCCCGCUCGCCGGAAGACCAAGGGUUCCUGUCCAACGUUAAUCGGGGCAGGGUGAGUCGACCCCUAAGGCGAGGCCGAAAGGCGUAGUCGAUGGGAAACGGGUUAAUAUUCCCGUACUUGGUGUUACUGCGAAGGGGGGACGGAGAAGGCUAUGUUGGCCGGGCGACGGUUGUCCCGGUUUAAGCGUGUAGGUGUGUGUUCCAGGUAAAUCCGGUUCACUUUAACACUGAGGCGUGA
rnacentral:rRNA from 3 species